GUUAAAAAGCUCGUAGUUGGAUUUCUGUCGAAGACGGUCGGUCCGCUCUAUGAGCGUGUAUCUGAUUCGGCUUUGGCAUCCUCGUGGGGAACGUAACUGUGCUUGAUUGCAUGGUGCGGAAUUCACGACUUUUACUUUGAGGAAAUUAGAGUGUUCACGGCAGGCAAGCGCCUUGAAUACAUUAGCAUGGAAUAAUAAUAUAGGACUUUGGUUCUAUUUUGUUGGUUUCUAGGACUAAAGUAAUGAUUAAUAGGGAUAAUUGGGGGCAUUUGUAUUAACGCGUCAGAGGUGGAAUUCUUGGAUUGCGUUACGACAAACUACUGCGAAAGCAUUUGCCAAGGAUGUUUUCAUUGAUCAAGAACGAAAGUAUGGGGAUCGAAGAUGAUUAGAUACCGUCGUAGUCUAUACCAUAAACUAUGCCGACUAGAGAUUGGAGGUCGUUCUUUUUAUGACUCCUUCAGCACCUUAUGAGAAAUCAAAGUCUUUGGGUUCCGGGGGGAGUAUGGUCGCAAGGCUGAAACUUAAAGGAAUUGACGGAAGGGCACCACCAGGAGUGGAGCCUGCGGCUUAAUUUGACUCAACACGGGAAAACUCACCAGGUCCAGACAUAGUAAGGAUUGACAGAUUGAUAGCUCU
rnacentral:rRNA from 1 species